rfam:Callithrix jacchus chromosome 19, whole genome shotgun sequence
UUUUUUUUGUAGUUUCUAAGAGUGAUGGUUGGGUUUUCACACUCAUGUGUGAGAUAUGCCACCCUCAAACCUUAUUACCACCUGGGCACAUUAUCCAUCUGAUG